rnacentral:rRNA from 1 species
UACGAAGGGGGCUAGCGUUGCUCGGAAUCACUGGGCGUAAAGCGCACGUAGGCGGAUUGUUAAGUCAGGGGUGAAAUCCUGGAGCUCAACUCCAGAACUGCCUUUGAUACUGGCGAUCUCGAGUCCGGGAGAGGUGAGUGGAACUGCGAGUGUAGAGGUGAAAUUCGUAGAUAUUCGGAAGAACACCAGUGGCGAAGGCGGCUCACUGGCCCGGUACUGACGCUGAGGUGCGAAAGCGUGGGGAGCAAGCAGG